GUGGAGGGUGUAAAAUGCUUUAUUACUGAAAACUUCUGAAAUGGACCAUGUUAAUAAUGCAAGAAUCAAAGCCUAUAAACUGCUUAUAAGCCACGUGAAAUGAUUAUAGCUGAAAAAUGUUACGAGAUUUUCUAAACCGUUUCUUGUAUUUAACGACCUUACAGCUCUAUGGUAUGAAGAUUAUAGUACUGCUUGCUAUGAUUUAUAAGGUGUUUUGCAUGACGGGGGAAAAGUAAGAGAAAAAAGCACUUGUAAUUGUGAUUAUUUUCAAAACAGUGGCUCCUAUGUCUAUUAAUACAAUGUUGCAUUCAUAAGAAUUUUUCUAAUACCUUAUCCUCUAAAAAUACUUCUUGUUAACCAGAAUAACAAAACGCAACCAGAAUUACAACUUUUAAAGGCAGAAAAAUAUAUGAGCGUUUCUGACAAGAGGGAAUUCUUAUAAAAGUAGAUCUGAGAAGUACUGUAGUUCCCAAAAGUGGUUGUAAGUAUUCGUGUCAGCACAAGCUUGGGCCUGCUUUGUUAUCUUUACAAAUUAAAAACUGGUUACCAUUUGCUUUCACCAGUCUUAGGUUUUAAGUUAUUUUACAACUUCAACGUACAAAACAAAAGUAUGUUUUUUACAGUAACUGUUUCUACGUAACUUAAAUUACCAUUUUCCAAACAGAGACCAGAACUGAAGAAUUGCUGUACAAUACUUUCUUAAAACUUAAAAAAGAAGAAAGAAAAAGAUGCUAAAUUUCUGAACAACACACUUCAAAUGGCACUGCCUACAUACCAUGUGUUGAUUUUUCUGAGGUAGACUAUGUUGGUUUUUUCCAGGUAGUAGGUUCAGAGUCAUGGUAUAAUCUGAUAGGAUUGGACAGUGAAGGACCAACUAAAUCUUCCAACUCAUUUUCAUUUUCCUGGUGAAAGCAGUGAACAGGAAAUGGCACCCCUGCUUUUGGCCAUACAUUUUAGCUUUUCUGCUGGCUUCUGAUGGAAGCAGAACUCUUAAUAGGAUAGUGGCUUGAGAAACAACUCUCUGUUCAAAGAAAUAAUUCCUUAGAUUUCUUCAUUAUCUUCUCUUUAAUCUUCUUUUUCACAGGACAGUGUGUAUAUUUUCAUGUAUAGCACACAGUAUAUGGACACGUGUCUCUUCCUUCCUUUUUGCCCGUGAAUGAGGAAGGUGAGAUCACCAAGGAAAGAGUGAGUACCUACUUUGCAAUGCAGCAUGGCUGCUGCAUCUUGGCUGAUCGAGACUGACAUAAUAGCUCCUAGAGCUUGUCUGAGCAUGAGCCAACUAACACUGUGCUGGAGAUCUGUUCUUGAUGAAGUAACUGCUUGAACAGGUUUUCCUGCUCUUUGAAGCUGGCACAGAUUUUCUUCAGAGAUAUUCUUGGCCCUCCUAUUUCUCUGCCUCAUUCCAGCAACAGGAUGAAGAACAUAGACAUGAUGAGAGUUGCACUUAAUGCUGAGGUGAGAGAUUAUUUGUUCUGACAUCAUCUGGAUCCAGCACUUUGAAACCACCUGACACUUCAUCCCCACCUUGAGUCACCAGAGCAUCACAGGCCUUCUGAUGAUUUUGCCAGUGGUCAUCCAAGCGCUUGGCAUCUAGCUCAUUCUGUUUCUCCUGUAGCCUCUGCAGCAGCUUCUUUAAGACUCUCAGUCGAAUCUCCUGCAACCUGCAAGGAAAAGAAAGGCCAGCUGGGAUGAAAACAGAGGACCACAUACUGAGAUCAACUGCCUUCAACAACCUCAUGUGAGCCCUGUGAGCUGUGAUGUGGAACUUGGGGAGCCAACUGUAUGGUUACCAACUACAGCAAAGCCUGAAGAGAGAUAAGCCUUAACCUCAUGUGACAGACAGUUUACUGCCAAGCAAGCUGCUGAAGAGCCUCCAGGCGCUGCUGAGCCCUCCCUCUCCAUCUUCGGUCAAUGAAUGGAGGCACUGGAUCUUUGCCGUCCAAGCACAGACUGUAGCCCGGGAAAUGGAUCAAGCUACUAAACAUACUUGUGA